AGAGUUUGAUCCUGGCUCAGGAUGAACGCUGGCGGCGUGCUUAACACAUGCAAGUCGAACGGAGUGCUUUGGCACUUAGUGGCGGACGGGUGAGUAACGCGUGAGGAUCUGCCUUCAGGUUGGGGACAACCACUGGAAACGGUGGCUAAUACCUAAUGUGCCGAGAGGUGAAAGGCUAGCUGCCUGAAGAUGAACUCGCGUCUGAUUAGCUAGUUGGUGGGGUAAGGGCUCACCAAGGCGACGAUCAGUAGCUGGUCUAAGAGGAUGAUCAGCCACACUGGGACUGAGACACGGCCCAGACUCUCUACGGGAGGCAGCAGUGGGGAAUUUUCCGCAAUGGGCGAAAGCCUGACGGAGCAACGCCGCGUGUGGGAGGACGGCCCUAGGGUUGUAAACCACUUUUCUCUGGGAAGAAGAU
rnacentral:rRNA from 1 species